rnacentral:tRNA from 2 species
UUACCGUGUAGUUCAAUGGUAGAACGACAGAUUCUGGUUCUGUAUGUUGUGAGUUCGAGUCUUACCACGGUAGCCAU